UUUGUUUUAGCAGAAAAAUGCCAGUUGUGCAGCAAGAAUCCUAAUUUCCAGGUCCUACUGCAUACAAGUCCAGUGUCCUGAAACACCCCUAGGCCUGCUACAUAUAGGGCAGCCGAGAGGCCCAUUCUUACUCUGAAGGAGCUGCAAAAAUCCACAGCUAAGAUGUUGUGUGUCAAGGGAGAGAGACAUAAGGGUGUCUGCAGAUGUCACAGAAGUCAAAACCAAGAACAAGAACAGAUUCAGCUUCACGUUGUUCCUCUCAUGUGGAUUACUACAUGCUGUCUCAACUGAAUUUUUAAUGCCAGCUGGUAUUUUAAAGGUGCCCCAAACACUCAAAGAAACACAUGCAUAAAUUUGCAUGAACAUGUUCUUGAUUGCAUUAUGAUACUUAGUAUUUUCUACCAAGAUUACCAUGCAUUUUUGUACCAUGCAACUUUCAUGUAAUAGGAUGACAGAGGAUUGUAGAGACAGGAUGCAAACACUAACAUUUUCUUUGCUUUUACACCAACACAGCUACUUUGUACAAAUUCAGCUGAUAAAAAGCAACGGCAUCACUCCGGCUUCUAUCAACCAAUAAUAAAAUGUGGCUCUUAAGUUUCUAAAUACUUAAUUAUGCUUACCAGCAAAUACCAGUCAUUUAUCUUUGUUAGUACUUUAGAAUUUGUCGCGUUUUAUUUUAGUAGUCUACUGAAAUUAUAUUUUUAACUGUAAAAUGCCACUGUUGCUUGCAGCAACAUUAGCUAAUAUUGGACAUCAAUAAAUAUCAGAAAUCUGUGCUCAAGUAAUACCUUCACUGUAAGAUUUUCAUCGGGGUUAGCAUGAGACUCCUUCGCUAAAAGACAGCAAAUAACCUGACCCUUAUAUCCCUGUCACGCUAUUAAGUAUCUACCUAGUGCUUCAAUGGUAAAGGAAAACACAUGCUAAAUAAUGCUCCAAUAUCGCCUUACUAUGAAUCUGAUACUGUAGCAUGCACAAUUUGAUCAUUAGCUGGGUCAGGCUGCCACAGUUUUUCUGGAUAUCUUGAAACAUCCAUUGCAUAAGCGUCACCACCUAAAGAUGGCACGUAUACUGCAAUUUACUCCGCUGCCAGAACAAUUACAUAAGCGCUACUCAGAUUUGAGAGCAAUGAUCUGAUAACAUUACUUAAUCUCAUGUUAUGUUAUUCAGAUGCUCUGUCUGCACUGAUGAAGGAUAUGGUGAUCUCAUUACAAAAGUAAC